rnacentral:rRNA from 1 species
UAGGGAAUCUUCGGCAAUGGACGAAAGUCUGACCGAGCAACGCCGCGUGAGUGAAGAAGGUUUUCGGAUCGUAAAACUCUGUUGUUAGAGAAGAACAAGGACGUUAGUAACUGAACGUCCCCUGACGGUAUCUAACCAGAAAGCCACGGCUAACUACGUGCCAGCAGCCGCGGUAAUACGUAGGUGGCAAGCAUUGUCCGGAUUUAUUGGGCGUAAAGCGAGCGCAGGCGGUUUCUUAAGUCUGAUGUGAAAGCCCCCGGCUCAACCGGGGAGGGUCAUUGGAAACUGGGAGACUUGAGUGCAGAAGAGGAGAGUGGAAUUCCAUGUGUAGCGGUGAAAUGCGUAGAUAUAUGGAGGAACACCAGUGGCGAAGGCGGCUCUCUGGUCUGUAACUGACGCUGAGGCUCGAAAGCGUGGGGAGCAAACA